AACGCACCUUGCGCUCCUUGGUAUUCCGAGGAGCAUGCCUGUUUGAGUGUCAUUAAUAUAUCAACCUUCUCUUUUUUGAGUUGUUUGGAUGUGGGGGUUUGCUGGCCUCUUAAAUGAUUCAGCUCCCCUGAAAUGCAUUAGCAGAACAACCUGUUCAUUGGCGUGAUAAUUAUCUAUGCUAUUGAAUGUGAGGGGCAGUUCAGCUUUCUAACCGUCCUCGGACAAUUCAUCAUUAAUGUGACCUCAAAUCAGGUAGGACUACCCGCUGAACUUAA
rnacentral:misc_RNA from 1 species